UUUGGGCAUGUGAUGAAUCCUGUUGUGAUUAAUGGGUAAUUUGCGUCUGAAAUUGUCAUUGAUGCUAUAUCACCUUGGAGACCUGAUGCCCAUU